UUCAUGUAUAUAUGCGUCUUUCUGUAUGUAUGUAUGUGUGUUGCAUAUAUAUACGUGUAUCUUUCUGUAUGUGUGUGUUGCAUACUGUAUAUAUGUGUGUCUAUCUGAGUGUAUAUGUAUGUUCGUGUGUUUCACUUUCUGUGUUAGGCCUGCGUUUUUAGUCUCAGGGUAUAAUGGAAUGUUUGACAAAGGUCCAGACAGACAGACAGACAGACAGACAGACAGACAGACAGACAGACAGACAAACAGACAGACAGACAGACAGACAGACAGACAGACAGACAGACAGACAGACAGACAGACAGACAGACAGACAGACAGACAGACAGACAGACAGACAGACAGACUCUGAUAGAUCAGUCAGACAGACUGAUACUCUGAUAGAUCAGUCAGAGAGACAGCAAGACAGACAGAGAGAGAGAGACAGAGAUCAGUCAGACAGACAAAGAUUGUGAUAGAUUAGUCAGACAGACAGAGAUUGUCAUAGAUCAGUCAGACAGACAGACAGAGACGCUGAUAGAUUAGUCAGACAGACAGAGAUUGUCAUAGAUCAGUCAGACAGACAGACAGAGAUGCUGAUAGAUCAGUCAUAUAACAGUGAAACUCACAGGGCCAAAGCAGACUCUAACAGAUAAAGAUAGUGCCCUUAUUCAAUUGGUCGAAAUCAAGCAGCAUUGCAGAUAGAACGAGUGCUCCCAUUGGAGAUCUGUAUCACCACUUUGAUCUAAUUACUCCGGCAUCCAGUGUCUGGCCUGAUGAUCGGUAUUAUCUGGGCUCGUGCCGUCAUCCUGCAUGCCUCUCAAAUAAAUAGAAGAACCACUGUGCCUGAACAUAAUGCUCUUCCCAAGGCAGGACACUGAUAGGCCGAAACUGGUACACACCUACACUAGUGGACCAAUCAGAUGACUGGAAGGGAAGUGGUUUGAUAUUGGUUACUAUGGUUACUAACAUGGAUGCUCCCCUCAGUUGACCCUAUGGAAUUGUUAAAGCAUCAUUGAUGUUGAGCAUCGAUGGUGGCACUAGUUUGGUGCUAUGUCUCACUUAUAGAGUUCUCUCUAUGUCAGUGUGUGUCUGUGUGUGUUGUGUGUGUGUGUGUGUGUGUGUGUGUGUGUGUGUGUGUGUGUGUGUGUGUGUGUGUGUGUGUGUGUGUGUGUGUGUGUGUGUGUGUGUGUGUGUGUGUGUGUGUGUGUGUGUGUGCGUGCGUGUGCGUGUGUGUGUGUGACAAUGGG
rnacentral:lncRNA from 1 species